GACGAACGCUGGCGGCGUGCUAUACAUGCAAGUAGAACGCUGAAGAGAGGAGCUUGCUCUUCUUGGAUGAGUUGCGAACGGGUGAGUAACGCGUAGGUAACUGCCUGGUAGCGGGGGAUAACUAUUGGAAACGAUAGCUAAUACCGCAUAAUAGUAGAUGUUGCAUGACAUUUGCUUAAAAGGUGCAAUUGCAUCACUACCAGAUGGACCUGCGUUGUAUUAGCUAGUUGGUGAGGUAACGGCUCACCAAGGCAACGAUACAUAGCCGACCUGAGAGGGUGAUCGGCCACACUGGGACUGAGACACGGCCCAGACUCCUACGGGAGGCAGCAGUAGGGAAUCUUCGGCAAUGGACGGAAGUCUGACCGAGCAACGCCGCGUGAGUGAAGAAGGUUUUCGGAUCGUAAAGCUCUGUUGUAAGAGAAGAACGAGUGUGAGAGUGGAAAGUUCACACUGUGACGGUAUCUUAC
rnacentral:rRNA from 1 species